UACGUAGGUGGCAAGCGUUGUCCGGAUUUACUGGGCGUAAAGGGCGUGCAGGCGGUCUGUUAAGUCUAGGGUGAAACCUCCAGGCUCAACCUGGAGACGCCACCCGAUACUGGUGUGACUCGAGUCCGGUAGGGGAGCGUGGAAUUCCUGGUGUAGCGGUGAAAUGCGCAGAUAUCAGGAGGAACACCAGCGGCGAAGGCGGCGCUCUGGGCCGGGAACUGACGCUGAGGAGCGAAAGCGUGGGUAGCAAACAGG
rnacentral:rRNA from 1 species